AAUUCCGAUGUUUAGGGCCAGGAUCUUGAUGUUUGAGGUCAGAAUUCCGAGUUUGGGGUCGGGAUCCGAGGUUUGGGGUCUGAAUUCCAAUGUUUGGGGUCAGGAUCCGAGGUUUGGGGUCGGGAUCUCGAUGUUUGGGGUCGGGAUCCGAGGUUUGGGGUCAGGAUCUCGAUGUUUGGGGUCGGGAUCCGAGGUUUGGGGUCGGGAUCUCGAUGUUUGGGGUCGGGAUCCGAGGUUUGGGGUCGGGAUCCGAGGUUUGGGGUCUGAAUUCCGAUGUUUGGGGUCGGGAUCUCGAUGUUUGGGGUCUGAAUUCCGAUGUUUGGGGU